UUCUUUUAAGCACCCCAAAGAAGCUCGCGUGUCCCCAUACCAGAUGAAGGUGUUCACUAUGCUAUUGUGAAGCUAGGGUGAACUGCCGAGGCACAACAGAGAGAAUGUAACUCUAGAGCCGUCGGAGGACGUGGUGACAGAGAAGAGCAUCCUGCCCUCAUCUCCAUGGUAACAGCUGUUUAUGGAUGGGGGCUGCCAGAAACAAAACCCUA
rnacentral:lncRNA from 1 species